CUGCUGCCUUCCGUAGGAGUUUGGGCCGUGUCUCGGUCCCAAUGUGGCCGUCCACCCUCUCAGGCCGGCUACUGAUCGCUGCCUUGGUGGGCCGUUACCCCGCCAACUAGCUAAUCAGACGCGGAUCCAUCGUAUACCACCGGAGUUUUUCACACUGCCCCAUGCGGAGCCGUGCGCUUAUGCGGUAUUAGCACCUAUUUCUAAGUGUUAUCCCCCGGUAUACGGCAGGUUAUCCACGCGUUACUCACCCGUCCGCCACUAACU
rnacentral:rRNA from 1 species